UACGUAGGUGGCGAGCGUUACUCGGAUUUACUAGGCGUAAAGCGCAUGUAGGUGGUUGGAUAAGUCUGUAGUGAAAUUUCCCGGCUUAACUGGGAAGGGUCUACGGAAACUAUCCGGCUUGAGUGUGGCAGGGGGAGACGGAAUUCCUGGUGUAGCGGUGAAAUGCGUAGAUAUCAGGAGGAACACCAAUGGCGAAAGCAGUCUCCUGGGCCAAUACUGACGCUGAGGUGCGAAAGCUAGGGGAG
rnacentral:rRNA from 1 species